GGCGUACGUCUCGGAUUAUUGGGCGUAAGCGAGCGCAGGCGGUUUUUUGGUCUGAUGUGAAAGCCUUCGGCUUAACCGGAGAAGUGCAUCGGAAACUGGGAGACUUGAGUGCAGAAGAGGACAGUGGAACUCCAUGUGUAGCGGUGGAAGCGUAGAUAUAUGGAAGAACACCAGUGGCGAAGGCGGCUGUCUAGUCUGUAACUGACGCUGAGGCUCGAAAGCAUGGGUAGCGAACAGGAUUAGAUACCCUGGUAGUCCAUGCCGUAAACGAUGAGUGCUAAGUGUUGGAGGGUUUCCGCCCUUCAGUGCUGCAGCUAACGCAUUAAGCACUCCGCCUGGGGAGUACGACCGCAAGGUUGAAACUCAAAGGAAUUGACGGGGGCCCGCACAAGCGGUGGAGCAUGUGGUUUAAUUCGAAGCUACGCGAAGAACCUUACCAGGUCUUGACAUCUUCUGCCAAUCUUAGAGAUAAGACGUUCCCUUCGGGGACAGAAUGACAGGUGGUGCAUGGUUGUCGUCAGCUCGUGUCGUGAGAUGUUGGGUUAAGUCCCGCAACGAGCGCAACCCUUAUUAUCAGUUGCCAGCAUUCAGUUGGGCACUCUGGUGAGACUGCCGGUGACAAACCGGAGGAAGGUGGGGAUGACGUCAAAUCAUCAUGCCCCUUAUGACCUGGGCUACACACGUGCUACAAUGGACGGUACAACGAGUCGCGAAGUCGUGAGGCUAAGCUAAUCUCUUAAAGCCGUUCUCAGUUCGGAUUGUAGGCUGCAACUCGCCUACAUGAAGUUGGAAUCGCUAGUAAUCGCGGAUCAGCAUGCCGCGGUGGAAUACGUUUCCCGGGGCCUUGUACACACCGCCCCGUCACACCAUGAAGAGUUUGUAACACCCCAAAGCCCGGUGAAGAUAACCUUUCGGGGAGUCAGCCCGUCUAAAGGUGGGGACAGAAUGAAUUAGGGGUGAAGUCGUACACAGAGGGGAAACCCCAAGCGCCCCGGCCGCGCUCCCGGGGGGUUUUUAUGGGUU
rnacentral:rRNA from 2 species